rnacentral:rRNA from 1 species
GACGAACGCUGGCGGCGUGCUUAACACAUGCAAGUCGAACGGAAAGGCCCUGCUUUUGUGGGGUGCUCGAGUGGCGAACGGGUGAGUAACACGUGAGUAACCUGCCCUUGACUUUGGGAUAACUUCAGGAAACUGGGGCUAAUACCGGAUAGGAGCUCCUGCUGCAUGGUGGGGGUUGGAAAGUUUCGGCGGUUGGGGAUGGACUCGCGGCUUAUCAGCUUGUGGGUGGGGUAGUGGCUUACCAAGGCUUUGACGGGUAGCCGGCCUGAGAGGGUGACCGGCCACAUUGGGACUGAGAUACGGCCCAGACUCCUACGGGGGGCAGCAGUGGGGAAUAUUGCACAAUGGGCGGAAGCCUGAUGCAGCAACGCCGCGUGCGGGAUGACGGCCUUCGGGUUGUAAACCGCUUUCGCCUGUGACGAAGCGUGAGUGACGGUAAUGGGUAAAGAAGCACCGGCUAACUACGUG